GCCGAUUUCUGGUUCCAUGCCUCAUACCUGAUCUGCGAAUAAAAUCUCUUCCAACCUUGCUUCGUCAAAUACUUAAUGCCGAUCCGAUGAGUAACCCGUAUGUCAACAGUCCCUGUGUCUGGGAUGAUUGCUGGUCUCUGUACCUAACAUUGGAUAAUGAUUCAGACCCUGUGCUCUGUGUAUUUGAUCACCCUUCAUCGUCCCAACCUGUCAUGGAACUGCAGCGCAUUAGCUACUUGUGGAUCUCCCCCCCCACCUGCGCGAUGAUGCGUACCCGGCCUGAGAUCGUUGACGGACUUAUUGCGACUGAUACCCAGCCCAGAUUCCUACGGGAGUGCGCCAUAUGUAAUUUUCCUCCAUGGGAGAAACCCUGAUCUAUCAAUGCUCCGUAUCUGAGUAAAGUCUUCGGAUGUUAUAGCUCUGUUGUAGAUGAAGAUCCGCUCGCUCCAGCCACAUGCUAUGGGACUGCACCUAUUCUUAUGAAUUUACACCUUUAACUACUUGUCACCAGCCGCGGUAAUUAAUACGUUGGCUGCGUUAUCCGGGAAUCAUGGGGCGUAAAGGGUGGGGUAGGUGGGGUACUUAAGUCGUUAGUAAAGGGCAAUGGCUCAACCAUGGUAAGCUAUGGAAACUGGUAUGCUAGAGUGCAGAAGAGGGCGAUGGAAUUCCACGUGUAGCGGUAAAAUGCCUAGAUAUAUGGAGGAACACCAGUGGCGAAGGCGGUCGCCUGGUCAGUAACCGACAUCGAGGCACGAAAGCGUGGGGAGCAAAUAGGAUUAGAUGCCCUAGUAGUACACGCAGUAAACGAUGAGAGAUAAGAUCUGGAGGAUUUCAGUGCUGCAGUUACCGCAAUAAGUUCUCCGGCUGGGGAGUAUGCACGCAAGUGUGAAACUCAAAGGAAUUGACGGGGGGCCGCACAAGCGGUGGAGUACGUGGUCUAAUUGGAAGCGACGAGAAGAACCUUCCCAGGCCUGGACAUGGAUACACAGACUGCAGAGAUAGAGGGAUAAUUAUGGCUCACACAGGUGGUGCACGGUGGUGGUCAGCUUGGGUGUUGAGACGGUGGGUCAAGUCCAGCAAGGAGGGCAACCCUUGUAGCAUGGUUCCAGCACCAAGUUGGGGAAUCAUCGCGAGACCGCCGGCGACAAGCUGGAGGAAGGGUGCGCGAUGACCUCAAAUCGUCACGUCCAAUAUGGCACGGGGCACCCGGGUAUUACAUAUGGGGACCACAAAGAGCAUGCGAGAAGGUGUCAAGAGAGUCAAUGUCAGAAAGGUCGUGUCAGUUCGGACCGAAGUCCAGCAAGAUGCACCUCACAGAAGUCGGGACCGUUAGUAAUGGCAGACCAGCAUGAUGCGGGAAGUAAGUUUUCGGCCGA
rnacentral:rRNA from 1 species